AAUUACAGUGAGAUGCAUCUCACAAUACAAUAAAUUAGAAGAAAAAUAAUUAUAUAUUUACUAGCAAAAAAAUUUUCCACAUUGUGAAAGUGCAAGUUAACAUAAUUGAGGAACCAUGUUUUGCAAAGAGACAAAAGGAGGAUCAUGAAGAAUCCAAAUCAAAAUUCCAGCCAUGAAAUGAUCCAAAGUUCUCUCUAGUAGGCUCACGGUUACCCAUAUGACAAUGUAGUUACAUUAGGUAACCAAUAAUAUCAUCUUAGUGAAUGCUACAUCUGGCUGCUCAGGAUUGUUCAGACACCUCACAAUUACAGAACCAUCUAUGGCAUCAUAUGCAGCAUUCCGAGAGACAAAUGGAUUACAAAACAAAGAAAUCACCAUAGCACCCAUGACCAAGCAACCGCUGAAUCAAAGUGACAAACUAACAAGCAAGUGGAGAAAACUGUGCCAAGUAAAAGUUAACGGAACAAUGAGCAUGAUCGCAGCACAUACCUAUUUUGGCAUCAGAAAGUU
rnacentral:misc_RNA from 1 species